rnacentral:rRNA from 1 species
CCUACGGGAGGCAGCAGUGGGGAAUAUUGGACAAUGGGCGAAAGCCUGAUCCAGCCAUGCCGCGUGUGUGAAGAAGGCCUUCGGGUUGUAAAGCACUUUCAGUGGGGAAGAAAGCCUUGGGGCUAAUACCCUCGAGGAAGGACAUCACCCACAGAAGAAGCACCGGCUAACUCCGUGCCAGCAGCCGCGGUAAUACGGAGGGUGCGGGCGUUAAUCGGAAUUACUGGGCGUAAAGCGCGCGUAGGCGGUCUGAUAAGCCGGUUGUGAAAGCCCCGGGCUCAACCUGGGAACGGCAUCCGGAACUGUCAGGCUAGAGUGCAGGAGAGGAAGGUAGAAUUCCCGGUGUAGCGGUGAAAUGCGUAGAGAUCGGGAGGAAUACCAGUGGCGAAGGCGGCCUUCUGGACUGACACUGACGCUGAGGUGCGAAAGCGUGGGUAGCAAACAGGAUUAGAUACCCCAGAGUC